UACGUAGGGUGCGAGCGUUGUCCGGAAUUAUUGGGCGUAAAGGGCUCGUAGGCGGUUUGUCGCGUCGGGAGUGAAAACUCAGGGCUUAACCCUGAGCCUGCUUCCGAUACGGGCAGACUAGAGGUAUGCAGGGGAGAACGGAAUUCCUGGUGUAGCGGUGAAAUGCGCAGAUAUCAGGAGGAACACCGGUGGCGAAGGCGGUUCUCUGGGCCACAACUGACGCUGAGGAGCGAAAGCAUGGGGAGCGAACAGG
rnacentral:rRNA from 1 species